rnacentral:rRNA from 1 species
GCUGCGAGCGAACAGGGAAGAGCCCAGCACCGAAUCCCGCGGCCGAUACCGGACGCCGGGAAAUGUGGUGUUAGGGAGGGUCCAUUAUCCCGAGGUUAUGCGGUGCGUCCAAGUCCUUCUUGAACGGGGCCACAGCCCAUAGAGGGUGCUAGGCCCGUAGUGACCGCUGCUAAUCGCGGGAGGAUCUCUCCUCAGAGUCGGGUUGCUUGAGAGUGCAGCCCUAAGUGGGUGGUAAACUCCAUCUAAGGCUAAAUAUGACCACGAGACCGAUAGCGAACAAGUACCGUGAGGGAAAGUUGAAAAGCACUUUGAAGAGAGAGUUAAAGAGUACGUGAAACCGUUUAGGGGUAAACCUGAGAAAUCCGAAAGGUCGAAGGGAGAAAUUCAUUCGCGUCUCGCUAUUAGCGUUAAGCGGUCGUGUGACGAAGAACGUUCGCGUUCACCGCGCCUUCCGUUUUUCGAUCCGAUGGCGAACGCGUGCACUUUUCUCCUGGUAGGACGUCGCGAUCCGUUGGGUGUCGGUCUACGGCUCUCGGUGGAGCCCGUGCGUACGGCUUGCCGUCACGCGCGGACCCGAGUGUCCCGGCUGACUCGCUCGACGGUAUACGAAAGGUUUAAGGCCGCUCUCUUUUUUGAGCGUUCGGCUCGUUGCAAGCGCGCCGGAUGUGUUGGCGAUCGGACCUAGCGCCGGUUCUGACCUCCGGUGACUGUUGGCGACGAAGUUCUCGAACAGACCUCUAACCGAUCUGCGAC